rnacentral:lncRNA from 1 species
CUCCUCCUACUUUUGGGACUUUGUAUCCCGUUGAUACUGAUUGGGAGGCGCAUCAGGCGAGGGAACUGACAUCUUUUCAGGCCAGACAAACUUAUAAUUCUGGUUUGAGAGCUUCUGAGUUGGCCGAGAUCGAGAGGCGACGCCGGGUUGAGCAGGAUGAGGCUGCUGCUAUGGAGAGGGAAAUGCUGGAUGUGGAUGGGCUGAAUUUGAAUUUGAAUAGCCCGUUCACAAACUACUUCACUGGCCAGCCGG